UACGUAGGGCGCAAGCGUUGUCCGGAAUUAUUGGGCGUAAAGGGCUCGUAGGCGGUUUGUCACGUCGGGCGUGAAAACUCAGGGCUCAACCCUGAGCGUGCGUUCGAUACGGGCAGACUAGAGGUAUGCAGGGGAGAACGGAAUUCCUGGUGUAGCGGUGGAAUGCGCAGAUAUCAGGAGGAACACCGGUGGCGAAGGCGGUUCUCUGGGCAUUACCUGACGCUGAGGAGCGAAAGCAUGGGGAGCGAACAGG
rnacentral:rRNA from 1 species